ACAUACACACUCGACUGCUUUUAUACAACUUGGAUCGCCGUUAGCAACUGUUAUCUCUUCCCCUCCUCCUCCUCCUCCUCCUCCCCCGCCCUCCACAUCCCCUUCCUCCGACCCUCCUCCGGCCUCGUCCUCAUCGCCUUCGACGCCACGUGGAAGCACGCAAGGGAAAUGGUGAGCGCCAGCGAGGAGUUCCUUAAUGAGUUCGCAACUAGGGUUUGUUUGAGCGUGGAUGAGAGUGCGAGUGGCGGGAGCAUUUACGAUUCCGAGUUGAUUUAUUGGAAGGAGCCUUUUUCUGGGUGCGUGAGUACCAUGGAGGCGGUGGCGAGGGCACUAUGCGUGCUCGAGCCCAAUGGGCUCGAGACUGAAGAGAUGUUGAUUGGGGUUUUGAGGGAAAUGGUGAGGUCGCAGGCCGGGUUUUUGAAGCCUGUGAAGUCCAGGGCCCAAGUUGUUGAAGAAGAAGGCUGAGGGGAAGGAGAAGAGUGAGGAUUCUGAUCAAGGUUAAGUUUUUAAAAACGGUCAGCGACCGUUAUUUCAAAGUUCUUUUUAACUGUCUGCGACCGUACUUGUGACCACAUCGGCCACAUUUGUCCGUGAUAUCAACAAAUCUGACCAAUACUUAAAACCUUAUUGGUCAUCUCCCAGGUUACUUCUACUUGUAAUGUAAUAUUAGCAUUUGGAUUUGUGGUUUUAUGUGGUGACUAGUGACUCCAUUUUUUUACUUUUGGAAAUAAGUAAUAACUCUAGAUGUCAAUAGCCUAACUAAGUGUUUCGAUGCUUUUCCAUAUGGAUGUUUGAUUAAAGAUGUAUUCUAAUGCAUUGAGAGAUUUGGUACUGUGGGCUGAAUAUAUUUCAUAACACUGCAUUACAAGAUAGUUGAGGCCUAUAUGCGUCAUUGUGAAGGUCUCAAACAAUUUGCUGGUUUCUUGUGUUCUCCUGAAUUUCAAAUGAAGUCUGUAUAUCGAUCGUUUGAACUCAGAUAUAUGUGUGUAUUAUUUAAAUUUAAAAGUCACAGUGUCUUCUGUAAUAUCUGGAAAGUGGUGGAAUAUAAAAAGGGAAGAAAGGAGGAAAGUUUGUAGAUUCUAUCUUCAUUAGUGAGUGCAUGCUUUGUAAUGAGGUAAUUUGAUUUUAAUUUUCUUGUC